GAUGAACGCUGGCGGCGUGCCUAAUACAUGCAAGUCGAGCGAACGGACGAGAAGCUUGCUUUUCUGAUGUUAGCGGCGGACGGGUGAGUAACACGUGGAUAACCUACCUAUAAGACUUGGAUAACUUCGGGAAACCGGAGCUAAUACCGGAUAAUAUUUUGAACCGCAUGGUUCAAAAGUGAAAGACGGUCUUUCUGUCACUUAUAGAUGGAUCCGCGCUGCAUUAGCUAGUUGGUAAGGUAACGGCUUACCAAGGCAACGAUGCAUAGCCGACCUGAGAGGGGGAUCGGCAACAAUGGAACUGAGAAACGGUCCAGACACCGACGGGAGGCAGCAGUAGGGAAUAUUCCGCAAUGGGCGAAAGCAUGACGGAGCAACGCCGCGUGAGUGAUGAAGGUCUUCGGAUCGUAAAACUCUGUUAUUAGGGAAGAACAUAUGUGUAAGUAACUGUGCACAUCUUGACGGUACCUAAUCAGAAAGCCACGGCUAACUACGUG
rnacentral:rRNA from 1 species